rnacentral:lncRNA from 1 species
AGUUGAGAAGCAAUGCUGUUUCACCUCCCUGAGAGAAUUGCCUUGUUUGUGAAAUACUACAGAAAAACCUGUAUUUUCUCCAGAAAAUGAAAGGUCUUGGCCUGAGUAAAUCAAGGCAGAAAACUCACCCCCGUGAAAGCUGCAGCUCUGAGAGUGUGUGGGCAGGGCUUCAACAGAAUACCUGUGGCUGCACUUACAAAAGGCAGCCAGAAGGACCCGUCCAUUCUGGAAAGUACCUUUAGUCUGAAAGGUACAAAUCAGAACUUUCACCACAUUCCAUCUGGCACUCACUGGUGGUGCCAACACCUCAAAAACCCUGCCGGGGCCAUUUGUCACCAUGUGGACACAGACAGACCACCAGUGAAAGUGGAAUUUUUGAAUGAGCUUGAAUGACCUGCCUAUAUGUGUAGACAGCCAUGGUCACUUUUUCUCCGUAGGAUUAGAUGUGCUGAUUCUAAUGUGGUUCACAUUAGGCUAUUUUCUUUUAAAAGUGAAAUUUCUUUUGGAAGCCUGGACAUUUCUAAGACGACUUCACAUCUAUUCACUCAUCUUGCCUUCCAAAACAGCUGCUCACAAUCUGAAUAUUAGACUACAAAUAGCAAAAACAAACCUCUGUUGUUAUUAUUACUAUAUUAUUAGGGUUUUUUUAGAAUCCCAAGGAAUUCUUUAUAUAAUGUAGAGUAAGCUAUUAGAAGGAAAUCAUUAUUUUCAAUGUGGUUCAUCCCAUGGAGGUAUGGAUGGAGAAUCCCUGCUCUUUCCUGGAAAUGGAUGCUGGUUCUUUAGAACACAUUUAUUGCAGAAAAAAUAUGAGGCUUGCUGGUAGUAUUCCCAGGUGACAAAUGUGCACCCAACACCCUACAGAAAAGAAGAACCAUAAAAUAAUUAAUUAUUCCAUUGUAACUCCUGCCUGGAAAACAUCUGAAAGAAGUCACUAGAUUCAGCCCACAUUCAAGAUGAGAAAUACCAGAAGGCAGAGAACACUGAGGCUGUUUUAGAGGCUGUCAACCCCAGGGAGACAGACAGCAAAUAAGAUGCUUGGAUGUUUUCACACCACUCUGACACAUGGAUGGAAGGUUAGAAGACAACAAAGGAAUGGGCUGGGAAGGACUCCAAAAGCAGAAUCAGAGAUUAUAUCAUUCCUUGGAAAUGGAGAAAAGGAUCAAAAAAGCUGAAUAAAAGGCAAACAUGGAGGAACAGAGUUUGGAGCAAUACCCUGACUUACAUUCAGUACUGUUAAUGGCUCCAGCAUCUUGAAACAAACCAAUUUUGGAUUUUCAGCCGCUGUCCAAGAUGACGUGAACUCCAGGCUAUUGACUUUCCUCUACCUUCAAUGGAAAUUGUCAUGGAGAAUUAAGUUUUUGACAAAUCUACAGCCUAUGUGCAGGGCUUCUUCCUGGGUGUAACAAUAAGGAAUUUGGAAACUGUCUCUAGUUUUGGCCUGGAGUCACACUGCAGCUUGAGACCCUGUCAUUUCCAUCAAGCUUGAAAAUAUACAUCUUAAUAAACUGCAAUACUUCUUAA